rnacentral:lncRNA from 1 species
CGUCUCCCUGAUCUCACAGCCAGCCCUUGGACUGAGUAGUGCUCCCGCCCUCCGACUCCCCCAGUACCCACUCCUCACUGCUGGCCAGGAACACCUCGGCACCUUCCUCCCUAGCCACAUCUCUUUCUGGCCGUGGGGGUAAUAAUUUCUCUGAUUGGGGCCUCUACUUCCAGUGUUCUUCAAGACCAGAGGCACGGAUACCCGUUCUGACAGAAACCGUACCCGCACCAAGGCGCACCUCCUGCCAUCCCCUCGUGACAAGGGAGCUCUGCUU